rnacentral:rRNA from 1 species
GAUGAACGCUGGCGGCGUGCCUAAUACAUGCAAGUCGAGCGAACGGACGAGAAGCUUGCUUCUCUGAUGUUAGCGGCGGACGGGUGAGUAACACGUGGAUAACCUACCUAUAAGACUGGGAUAACUUCGGGAAACCGGAGCUAAUACCGGAUAAUAUUUUGAACCGCAUGGUUCAAAAGUUAAAGACGGUCUUGCUGUCACUUAUAGAUGGAUCCGCGCUGCAUUAGCUAGUUGGUAAGGUAACGGCUUACCAAGGCAACGAUGCAUAGCCGACCUGAGAGGGUGAUCGGCCACACUGGAACUGAGACACGGUCCAGACUCCUACGGGAGGCAGCAGUAGGGAAUCUUCCGCAAUGGGCGAAAGCCUGACGGAGCAACGCCGCGUGAGUGAUGAAGGUCUUCGGAUCGUAAAACUCUGUCAUUAGGGAAGAACAUAUGUGUAAGUAACUGUGCACAUCUUGACGGUACCUAAUCAGAAAGCCACGGCUAACUACGUG